UUAAGCGACUAAGCGUACACGGUGGAUGCCCUGGCAGUCAGAGGCGAUGAAGGACGUGCUAAUCUGCGAUAAGCGUCGGUAAGGUGAUAUGAACCGUUAUAACCGGCGAUUUCCGAAUGGGGAAACCCAGUGUGUUUCGACACACUAUCAUUAACUGAAUCCAUAGGUUAAUGAGGCGAACCGGGGGAACUGAAACAUCUAAGUACCCCGAGGAAAAGAAAUCAACCGAGAUUCCCCCAGUAGCGGCGAGCGAACGGGGAGCAGCCCAGAGCCUGAAUCAGUGUGUGUGUUAGUGGAAGCGUCUGGAAAGGCGCGCGAUACAGGGUGACAGCCCCGUACACAAAAAUGCACAUGCUGUGAGCUCGAUGAGUAGGGCGGGACACGUGGUAUCCUGUCUGAAUAUGGGGGGACCAUCCUCCAAGGCUAAAUACUCCUGACUGACCGAUAGUGAACCAGUACCGUGAGGGAAAGGCGAAAAGAACCCCGGCGAGGGGAGUGAAAAAGAACCUGAAACCGUGUACGUACAAGCAGUGGGAGCACGCUUAGGCGUGUGACUGCGUACCUUUUGUAUAAUGGGUCAGCGACUUAUAUUCUGUAGCAAGGUUAACCGAAUAGGGGAGCCGAAGGGAAACCGAGUCUUAACUGGGCGUUAAGUUGCAGGGUAUAGACCCGAAACCCGGUGAUCUAGCCAUGGGCAGGUUGAAGGUUGGGUAACACUAACUGGAGGACCGAACCGACUAAUGUUGAAAAAUUAGCGGAUGACUUGUGGCUGGGGGUGAAAGGCCAAUCAAACCGGGAGAUAGCUGGUUCUCCCCGAAAGCUAUUUAGGUAGCGCCUCGUGAAUUCAUCUCCGGGGGUAGAGCACUGUUUCGGCAAGGGGGUCAUCCCGACUUACCAACCCGAUGCAAACUGCGAAUACCGGAGAAUGUUAUCACGGGAGACACACGGCGGGUGCUAACGUCCGUCGUGAAGAGGGAAACAACCCAGACCGCCAGCUAAGGUCCCAAAGUCAUGGUUAAGUGGGAAACGAUGUGGGAAGGCCCAGACAGCCAGGAUGUUGGCUUAGAAGCAGCCAUCAUUUAAAGAAAGCGUAAUAGCUCACUGGUCGAGUCGGCCUGCGCGGAAGAUGUAACGGGGCUAAACCAUGCACCGAAGCUGCGGCAGCGACGCUUAUGCGUUGUUGGGUAGGGGAGCGUUCUGUAAGCCUGUGAAGGUGUACUGUGAGGUAUGCUGGAGGUAUCAGAAGUGCGAAUGCUGACAUAAGUAACGAUAAAGCGGGUGAAAAGCCCGCUCGCCGGAAGACCAAGGGUUCCUGUCCAACGUUAAUCGGGGCAGGGUGAGUCGACCCCUAAGGCGAGGCCGAAAGGCGUAGUCGAUGGGAAACAGGUUAAUAUUCCUGUACUUGGUGUUACUGCGAAGGGGGGACGGAGAAGGCUAUGUUGGCCGGGCGACGGUUGUCCCGGUUUAAGCGUGUAGGCUGGUUUUCCAGGCAAAUCCGGAAAAUCAAGGCUGAGGCGUGAUGACGAGGCACUACGGUGCUGAAGCAACAAAUGCCCUGCUUCCAGGAAAAGCCUCUAAGCAUCAGGUAACAUCAAAUCGUACCCCAAACCGACACAGGUGGUCAGGUAGAGAAUACCAAGGCGCUUGAGAGAACUCGGGUGAAGGAACUAGGCAAAAUGGUGCCGUAACUUCGGGAGAAGGCACGCUGAUAUGUAGGUAAAGCGACUUGCUCGUGGAGCUGAAAUCAGUCGAAGAUACCAGCUGGCUGCAACUGUUUAUUAAAAACACAGCACUGUGCAAACACGAAAGUGGACGUAUACGGUGUGACGCCUGCCCGGUGCCGGAAGGUUAAUUGAUGGGGUUAGCGGUAACGCGAAGCUCUUGAUCGAAGCCCCGGUAAACGGCGGCCGUAACUAUAACGGUCCUAAGGUAGCGAAAUUCCUUGUCGGGUAAGUUCCGACCUGCACGAAUGGCGUAAUGAUGGCCAGGCUGUCUCCACCCGAGACUCAGUGAAAUUGAACUCGCUGUGAAGAUGCAGUGUACCCGCGGCAAGACGGAAAGACCCCGUGAACCUUUACUAUAGCUUGACACUGAACAUUGAGCCUUGAUGUGUAGGAUAGGUGGGAGGCUUUGAAGUGUGGACGCCAGUCUGCAUGGAGCCGACCUUGAAAUACCACCCUUUAAUGUUUGAUGUUCUAACGUUGACCCGUAAUCCGGGUUGCGGACAGUGUCUGGUGGGUAGUUUGACUGGGGCGGUCUCCUCCUAAAGAGUAACGGAGGAGCACGAAGGUUGGCUAAUCCUGGUCGGACAUCAGGAGGUUAGUGCAAUGGCAUAAGCCAGCUUGACUGCGAGCGUGACGGCGCGAGCAGGUGCGAAAGCAGGUCAUAGUGAUCCGGUGGUUCUGAAUGGAAGGGCCAUCGCUCAACGGAUAAAAGGUACUCCGGGGAUAACAGGCUGAUACCGCCCAAGAGUUCAUAUCGACGGCGGUGUUUGGCACCUCGAUGUCGGCUCAUCACAUCCUGGGGCUGAAGUAGGUCCCAAGGGUAUGGCUGUUCGCCAUUUAAAGUGGUACGCGAGCUGGGUUUAGAACGUCGUGAGACAGUUCGGUCCCUAUCUGCCGUGGGCGCUGGAGAACUGAGGGGGGCUGCUCCUAGUACGAGAGGACCGGAGUGGACGCAUCACUGGUGUUCGGGUUGUCAUGCCAAUGGCACUGCCCGGUAGCUAAAUGCGGAAGAGAUAAGUGCUGAAAGCAUCUAAGCACGAAACUUGCCCCGAGAUGAGUUCUCCCUGACUCCUUGAGAGUCCUGAAGGAACGUUGAAGACGACGACGUUGAUAGGCCGGGUGUGUAAGCGCAGCGAUGCGUUGAGCUAACCGGUACUAAUGAACCGUGAGGCUUAACCUU
rnacentral:rRNA from 1 species